CUACAGCCAUACCACCCUGAACAUGGACGAUCUCAGGUGAUCUCAGAGGCUAAGCAGGGUCGGGCCUGGUUGAUAACUUGGAUGGAAGGAAAAACCAGAUAAAUGCUUAGU
rnacentral:rRNA from 1 species